AUUGAACGCUGGCGGCAUGCCUUACACAUGCAAGUCGAACGGCAGCACGGGUGCUUGCACCUGGUGGCGAGUGGCGAACGGGUGAGUAAUACAUCGGAACAUGUCCUGUAGUGGGGGAUAGCCCGGCGAAAGCCGGAUUAAUACCGCAUACGAUCUACGGAUGAAAGCGGGGGACCUUCGGGCCUCGCGCUAUAGGGUUGGCCGAUGGCUGAUUAGCUAGUUGGUGGGGUAAAGGCCUACCAAGGCGACGAUCAGUAGCUGGUCUGAGAGGACGACCAGCCACACGUGGACUGAGACACGGCCCCGACUCCUACGGGAGGCAGGAGUGGGGAAUUUUGGACAAUGGGCGAAAGCCUGAUCCAGCAAUGCCGCGUGUGGGAAGAAGGCCUUCGGGGUUGAAAGCACUUUUGUCCGGAAAGAAAUCCUUGGCUCUAAUAAAGUCGGGGGAUGACGGUACCGGAAGAAUAAGCACCGGCUAACUACGUG
rnacentral:rRNA from 1 species